rnacentral:rRNA from 1 species
ACGGGACCCGCACAAGCGGUGGAUGAUGUGGAUUAAUUCGAUGCAACGCGAAAACCUUACCUACCCUUGACAUGUCCGGAAUCCCGAAGAGAUUUGGGAGUGCUCGCAAGAGAGCCGGAACACAGGUGCUGCAUGGCUGUCGUCAGCUCGUGUCGUGAGAUGUUGGGUUAAGUCCCGCAACGAGCGCAACCCUUGUCAUUAGUUGCCAUCAUUUGGUUGGGCACUCUAAUGAGACUGCCGGUGACAAACCGGAGGAAGGUGGGGAUGACGUCAAGUCCUCAUGGCCCUUAUGGGUAGGGCUUCACACGUCAUACAAUGGUCGGUACAGAGGGUUGCCAACCCGCGACGAGGGAGCUAAUCCCACAAAGCCGAUCGUAGUCCGGAUCGCAGUCUGCAACUCGACUGCGUGAAGUCGGAAUCGCUAGUAAUCGUGGAUCAGCAUGUCACGGUGAAUACGUUCCCGGGUCUU